UAAAACUUUAAGUUAAAUAAAACUAGUAACCUUCAAAGUUAUUUAUAAGAAAUUUCUUAAGUUUUAG
rnacentral:tRNA from 1 species